rnacentral:precursor_RNA from 12 species
UAAGUGAAAUAUUUGAUGUGAUGGCGGAUGGGGGACUACCUAAUUGCAAGGUGUAUCUAUCGACUUUGCCUUUAGUUACUUUCCGAUCUGUUGGUGCACAUGACUACAAAUGAAGA